rnacentral:lncRNA from 1 species
GGCAUUCUGAGGGCACUAAUAACAGGGCACUAAUAAUAAACAUUCUUUAGCCUAAGAAUGUUGUAAAAUUUGUUUUGUUAGAAGGUGUGACAUAAUGGUUUUAAAAUAGAAUAGUAAGAGAGCAACCAUGUGCUGAUAUUUAAACUACUCCGGAAGAGUGGGCUUUUCACCAUAGUUGAAUGUUGCAGUGAUGUGGAAGCAGGAGGAAAUCUGUCCACAUUGUUAGCACUGAUCAUGUCUUGUCCAGAUCCCUCAGAAGUAACUUAGAUAUGGACACCAAGGAUUGUGUAUUAAGAUACAGAAUCCAGGACCUCAGCCAUGCCUUUAUCAUUCUUAAGAAUGUUCCUUAGGGGGGCUGGGGUUGUAGCUCAGUGGUAGAGCAUUUGCCUAGUGCAUGUGAGGCCCUUGGUUCGAUCCUCAGCACCACAUAAAAAUAAAUAAGUAAAAGUUAUUGUGUCCAACUACCACUAAAAAAUAAGUUUUUUAAAAAAAAGUUCCCUAGGCUACACAACUCAGGAUUCAGGGAUGCCAUAGAGUUUGAGAUGGGGUAGUAAUUAUUGCAAGUUAGCCCAUGAAAGUGGGGUUGACAUUAUGCAAGCACUAGAUCCAGUGAAGCUGGAGCCUAGAUGUGAUUAACUGGAGGUGUUUUCAUUUGCAAAUUGUAAGGUUCUUUCCAAAUUCCCUUAAUUCAUAAUUUUGUUACAGAAGUGGAAGGAGUGUUAUUUCAGAUGCCAGUUUAUAAAAUUAGUUCAAUUAGUCUUGUAUUCACAAGGGAAAGUACAUUUGGUAAUGAAAUAAAGUGAUGGCUAAGUUAAUCUAUCUACAGAGGUUACAAAUUUGGGACAUUGAGUAAGGGAGCAAGAGCUAAUAGACAUGCCUUUUUUCUUAUUCCAUGUUCCUGGUUCUAAAAGACAGUACAUUCAUUCAUUAUCAGUAGAGUGACAGAAAAAACAAAUUUUCAGAGACUGUAAUGAAGUUGGUACUCAAAUGCUUGGUCAGGACUGUAAUUUGCACAGAACUGGUAAAUACCAUCCACCCUUGUCACUUGCACAUCAGCACAGUGAUGGUUAGGCACUCAUCCAUCCCAGGUCCUCUUCUGAGAAAUCAUCUGGGAAGUGACUGUGUUCAGGAAUGGCUAUUGGGAUAGUGUAGCCCACAGCUGUAAAACUGGCUGCCCUCGAUUCCUGGGCUGUAUGGCAAUCUCUGGCGCUUUUGAGUUGGAGGCUGACGGAUGGGCUAAAGGCAAAGGCACAUGAUCAAGCCUGCCCGGUAUAGGCAUGGAGCCGAGUGUGGCUGUGGAAAGCUUCCUAUCCUUUUUCCUCCAGUUAUCCAUGAGUUCAAGGGACCGGAAGGUGGCAGUGAUGGCCUGCGUUUGGUGGAUAGUCGCCUCUGGAAAAGGAUAUGAGAUCCAAAACACGGAACCAAAAAACAUCAGUGUUCAAGUCAAGGAUUACAGUAGCUGUUGUUGCCAUUGUUUGGAAUUAG